rnacentral:rRNA from 1 species
AUUGAACGCUGGCGGCAUGCCUUACACAUGCAAGUCGAACGGCAGCACGGGAGCAAUCCUGGUGGCGAGUGGCGAACGGGUGAGUAAAGUAUCGGAACGUGCCCAGUCGUGGGGGAUAACGUAGCGAAAGUUACGCUAAUACCGCAUACGAUCUAUGGAUGAAAGCGGGGGAUCGCAAGACCUCGCGCGAUUGGAGCGGCCGAUAUCAGAUUAGGUAGUUGGUGGGGUAAAGGCUCACCAAGCCGACGAUCUGUAGCUGGUCUGAGAGGACGACCAGCCACACUGGGACUGAGACACGGCCUAGACUCCUACGGGAGGCAGCAGUGGGGAAUUUUGGACAAUGGGCGAAAGCCUGAUCCAGCCAUGCCGCAUGCAGGAUGAAGGCCUUCGGGUUGUAAACUGCUUUUGUACGGAACGAAAAGGUUUGGCCUAAUAAGCUGAGCUCAUGACGGUACCGUAAGAAUAAGCACCGGCUAACUACGUGCCAGCAGCCGCGGUAA